GAUAAACGCUGGCGGCAUGCCUAAUACAUGCAAGUGGAACGAGUCAUUUCGGUGAUUCGUCGCGAACGGGUGAGUAACACGUAGAUAACCUACCCAAUAGAGGGGGAUAACCAUUGGAAACGAUGGAUAAUACCGCAUAGAUACUCCUUAGGCAUCUAAGGAAGUAGAAAGGAGCAAUUGCUCUGCUAAUGGAUGGAUCUGCGGCGCAUUAGCUAGUUGGUGAGGUAACGGCCCACCAAGGCGAUGAUGCGUAGCCGGCCUGAGAGGGUGAACGGCCACAUUGGGACUGAGACACGGCCCAG
rnacentral:rRNA from 1 species